rnacentral:rRNA from 1 species
UCGAGGGGCAGCAUGAACUUAGCUUGCUAAAGUUUGAUGGCGACCGGCGCACGGGUGAGUAACACGUAUCCAACCUGCCGAUGACUCGGGGAUAGCCUUUCGAAAGAAAGAUUAAUACCCGAUGGCAUAGUUCUUCCGCAUGGUAGAACUAUUAAAGAAUUUCGGUCAUCGAUGGGGAUGCGUUCCAUUAGGUUGUUGGCGGGGUAACGGCCCACCAAGCCUUCGAUGGAUAGGGGUUCUGAGAGGAAGGUCCCCCACAUUGGAACUGAGACACGGUCCAAACUCCUACGGGAGGCAGCAGUGAGGAAUAUUGGUCAAUGGACGAGAGUCUGAACCAGCCAAGUAGCGUGAAGGAUGACUGCCCUAUGGGUUGUAAACUUCUUUUAUACGGGAAUAAAGUGAGGCACGUGUGCCUUUUUGUAUGUACCGUAUGAAUAAGGAUCGGCUAACUCCGUGCCAGCAGCCGCGGUAAUACGGAGGA